rnacentral:tRNA from 1 species
GGCUCCGUAGUACAAUGGAUAGUGCGUAGGUUUCCGGAACCUAAAAUCCAGGUUCGAUCCCUGGCGGGGCUA